rnacentral:tRNA from 1 species
GCCCCCGUAGCUCAGUCGGAUAGAGCACCGGCCUCCGGAGCCGGUUGCGGAGGUUCGAGUCCUCUCGGGGGUA